rnacentral:rRNA from 1 species
GACGUAGGGCGCGAGCGUUGUCCGGAUUUAUUGGGCGUAAAGAGCUCGUAGGCGGCUUGUCGCGUCGAAUGUGAAAUCUCCAGGGCUCAACUCUGACAUUGCAUUCGAUACGGGCAGGCUAGAGUUCGGUAGGGGAGACUGGAAUUCCUGGUGUAGCGGUGAAAUGCGCAGAUAUCAGGAGGAACACCGGUGGCGAAGGCGGGUCUCUGGGCCGUAACUGACGCGUGGAGGAGCGAAAGCAUGGGGAGCGACAGGAUUAGAACCGUACC